UGACUGAAUAAUGAUCAAAGCUAAGGCAACUUAGGUCAUGAAUAUGCAUGGACGGCUGCCUUUCAUCCAGCAUAAUGCUUUUACUGAGCAGAGAAGAACUCACAUUUGGAGUAUCCCCAACAGAAUAUCAUAGAGAAAAAGAGGCUGCUGUUUCUGGUGAAGGUCAGAAGGUGAACAACGGAAUCCCGGUUCCUUGGUUUAGGACUCAAAUGUUUAGCUGAUGCAUACAUAGUUGGUGGGACAAAGAAUGCCUUUUCUAAUCUGAUCCUCAGACACUGUCAGAAACGAACGAAUAAAUAAGAAUUUCAAGCCCCUGGGAAAUUAUGAGGUUGCAGAUUUUAGCUUCUGAAUUAACAAUUAACUUUGGUAUGC